UACGUAGGGGGCAAGCGUUGUCCGGAAUCAUUGGGCGUAAAGCGCACGCAGGCGGUCUUUUAAGUUUGACGUGAAAGCUCCCGGCUUAACUGGGAGAGGUCGUUGAAGACUGGAAGACUUGAGGCAAUGAGAGGGGUGUAGAAUUCCCGGUGUAGUGGUGGAAUGCGUAGAUAUCGGGGGGAAUACCAGUGGCGAAAGCGGCACCCUAGCGUUAGCCUGACGCUCAUGUGCGAAAGCGUGGGGAGCGAACGGG
rnacentral:rRNA from 1 species